rnacentral:ncRNA from 17 species
AGGCGAGCACAAGAUGUAUGCUCGUGCUCGCUGUCGCCGCAGGGGAAUCCGGUGCGAAUCCGGAACUGUCCCGCAACGGUGUACUUGUGCGUAUACGCGUACGAGCGUCAGUCCGAGGACCUGCCGACAGCGUGCCCGGCCCA